CCUACGGGAGGCAGCAGUGAGGAAUAUUGGUCAAUGGACGAGAGUCUGAACCAGCCAAGUAGCGUGAAGGAUGACUGCCCUAUGGGUUGUAAACUUCUUUUAUAUGGGAAUAAAAUGUUCCACGUGUGGGAUUUUGUAUGUACCAUAUGAAUAAGGAUCGGCUAACUCCGUGCCAGCAGCCGCGGUAAUACGGAGGAUCCGAGCGUUAUCCGGAUUUAUUGGGUUUAAAGGGAGCGUAGGUGGAUUGUUAAGUCAGUUGUGAAAGUUUGCGGCUCAACCGUAAAAUUGCAGUUGAAACUGGCAGUCUUGAGUACAGUAAAGGUGGGCGGAAUUCGUGGUGUAGCGGUGAAAUGCUUAGAUAUCACGAAGAACUCCGAUUGCGAAGGCAGUUCACUGGACUGCAACUGACACUGAGGCUCGAAAGUGUGGGUAUCAAACAGGAUUAGAUACCCCAGUAGUC
rnacentral:rRNA from 1 species